rnacentral:rRNA from 1 species
AUGAACGCUAGCGAUAGGCUUAACACAUGCAAGUCGAGGGGCAUCGAGGGUAGCAAUACCUGUCGGCGACCGGCGCACGGGUGAGUAACGCGUAUGUAACCUGCCCGCAACAGAGGGAUAACCCGGCGAAAGUCGGACUAAUACCUCAUAAAACAGGGGUUCCGCAUGGGGCUAUUUGUUAAAGAUUUAUUGGUUGCGGAUGGGCAUGCGUACCAUUAGGUAGUUGGUGAGGUAACGGCUCACCAAGCCAUCGAUGGUUAGGGGUUCUGAGAGGAAGGUCCCCCACACUGGUACUGAGACACGGACCAGACUCCUACGGGAGGCAGCAGUGAGGAAUAUUGGUCAAUGGGCGAGAGCCUGAACCAGCCAAGUCGCGUGAAGGAUGACUGCCCUAUGGGUUGUAAACUUCUUUUACAGGGGAAUAAAAUGAGAUACGUGUAUUUUAUUGCAUGUACCUGGAAUAGC